rnacentral:rRNA from 1 species
CUACGGGAGGCUGCAGUGGGGAAUAUUGGACAAUGGGCGAAAGCCUGAUCCAGCAAUGCCGCGUGAGUGAUGAAGGCCUUAGGGUUGUAAAGCUCUUUUACCCGGGAUGAUAAUGACAGUACCGGGAGAAUAAGCCCCGGCUAACUCCGUGCCAGCAGCCGCGGUAAUACGGAGGGGGCUAGCGUUAUUCGGAAUUACUGGGCGUAAAGCGCGCGUAGGCGGUUUUUCAAGUCAGAGGUGAAAGCCCGGAGCUCAACUCCGGAAUUGCCUUUGAAACUGGAUCACUAGAAUCAUGGAGAGGUCAGUGGAAUUCCGAGUGUAGAGGUGAAAGUCGUAGAUAUUCGGAAGAACACCAGUGGCGAAGGCGACUGACUGGACAUGUAUUGACGCUGAGGUGCGAAAGCGUGGGGAGCAAACAGGAUUAGAUACCCGAGUAGUC